rnacentral:rRNA from 1 species
UACGGGGGGGGCAAGCGUUGUUCGGAAUCAUUGGGCGUAAAGGGCGCGUAGGCGGCCAACUAAGUCAGACGUGAAAUCCCUCGGCUUAACCGGGAACUGCGUCUGAUACUGGAUGGCUUGAGUUUGGGAGAGGGAUGCGGAAUUCCUGGUGUAGCGGUGAAAUGCGCAGAUAUCAGGAAGAACACCUAUGGCGAAGGCAGCUCUCUGGGACGGUACUGACGCUGAGACGCGAAAGCGUGGGAGCAAACAGG